rnacentral:rRNA from 1 species
GAUGAACGCUGGCGGCGUGCCUAAUACAUGCAAGUCGAGCGAAUGGAUUAAGAGCUUGCUCUUAUGAAGUUAGCGGCGGACGGGUGAGUAACACGUGGGUAACCUGCCCAUAAGACUGGGAUAACUCCGGGAAACCGGGGCUAAUACCGGAUAACAUUUUGAACCGCAUGGUUCGAAAUUGAAAGGCGGCUUCGGCUGUCACUUAUGGAUGGACCCGCGUCGCAUUAGCUAGUUGGUGAGGUAACGGCUCACCAAGGCAACGAUGCGUAGCCGACCUGAGAGGGUGAUCGGCCAGCCUGGGACUGAGACACGGCCCAGACUGCUACGGGAGGCAGCAGUAGGGAAUCUUCCGCAAUGGACGAAAGUCUGACGGAGCAACGCCGCGUGAGUGAUGAAGGCUUUCGGGUCGUAAAACUCUGUUGUUAGGGAAGAACAAGUGCUAGUUGAAUAAGCUGGCACCUUGACGGUACCUAACCAGAAAGCCACGGCUAACUACGUGCCAGCAGCCGCAGUAA